rfam:Perkinsus marinus ATCC 50983 gcontig_1104296130678, whole genome shotgun sequence.
GACAGUUUGGCCGAGUGGUCCAAGGCGCUAGCUUUAAGCGUCAGUCCGAAAGGGUGUGGGUUCGAACCCCACAGCUGUCA